rnacentral:lncRNA from 1 species
CGAGAUGCUUAACGUGAACUAUCAGCCAUCACAGAGUGAAUUCAGGCCCGAAGCCAGACAAUUCAUCGAUCCAAUCAUCCAAUUCCUAGUUCACAACAACAAUGCACCCUUGCUCGUCAACCUUCACCCUUUCUAUAGCUUAGUGCACGUAAAGGAAGACAUCCCUAUGGACUUAGAAGCUCAAGCCCACCGCGAAUCCAGAAGUGCUCGUUUUGAUUACGCUACUUUCAGGUCUGCACAAACUCGUGUCCAAGACGGACCACUUAUCUACACAAACUUGUUUGAUUCAAUGGUGGACAGUGUACACGCCGCGCUAGAGAAGGCUGGCGGAUCCUCCUUGGAUGUGGUGGUCUCCGAAGUAGGAUGGCCAACGGAAGGACACUCUGCAGCUACUAUUGACAACGCCAGGACUCAUAACAACGGAUUGAUUAAUCAUGUACAGAGCAUUGGGACUCCAAAAAGACCUCAGAAGCGUAUUGAGACUUAUAUCUUCAAUUUGUUUGACGAGAACAAGAGGGAUCCGGAGGUCGAGAGGCACUGGGGAAUCUUCUGGAACAACAAACAAGCCAAGUACAACAUCAAUUUCCAAAAUCAGUGAUAAGUUUAUGUAUAAAUAGCAGUUUAGCAUUAAUAAAAGGGUUCGGGAAUGUAUGAGUACCCACGAAGAACCAAUUUUACAAACUGCUGUUUGUUUGUACCAAAGCUUUACACCAAUAUAUCAUUCGGGACACUCUCGAAUUUUUUAUCUUAUUUAAAACACUGUUUUGAGAAUUUGUAUUAGUCUUAAAAGUAAAAAAGUUAAAUUCAAAAACAAAUCGACAAUUUGAGGAGUGUUAAAGCCCUACGAGUAACACUGUGUUGAAGACCUAUGAGUAACGUUUUUAAAAUGUCGACUUGUUUUUGAAUUUAACGUUUUAUUUUUAAGACUGGUAAAAUUUCUGAAACGGUGUUUCAGAUGAGACCGAAAAUUCGAAGGUGCCCCGAUGAUAUAUUGGUGUGAAGAGAGUGUCCAAUUUGAUAAUUAAAUUAAUUUUAAAUCAGAUUUUUCAUAUUUCGUAUAUUUUUAUAUGUAUGAAAAAAGAUAUUUUUCGUGUAACAAAUUAGAGUUAGAACGGGUUACGUAAUGGUUCGUGAGUUAAAAAGAGUUAUAUGAGGAUUCUUGUUAAAAAAAUAUUCAAAUUGUAUAUUUAUAAUUUUAUUUUAACUUCAUUAUAAUUAUUUUAUGAAAUAUUAUAUGAUAAUGUAUUGUGAUAAGUGUUUUCAGUAUUUAUGACUGUUUAACAAUAUAGGAGUAAUAGAGCUCCAUAUGUUAUAAACUUCUAAUUCCAUAGGGAGAGUACCAAAAAAAAACAUAAACAAAAAAAAUUUUGAACAACAAAUUAUAUUUAUGUUGACAUAUUAUAGCAUAGUAUAGAUGUAUUCUAAUCUUGGGAUUUUAAUACAAGAGCAUCUUGAACUCAGAUUUAGCCAACCAAUUUUAGUCAAUCUCGUUGGGAUGCUCUAGUAAGUUUAAGUCAAAUUAAUGAUGGAGUUCAGUGUUUUAAAAAGUAAAAAUUGGUAAAAAAAAACAUGAAAUAAGAAUUAAUUGAAUUAGUCAUAAUUAAUCAUAUAAUUAUAUAUUUAACCGGUUCGAAGAGUAUGGAACAGAGACUAAUCAAAAUUAAUCACCGAUUUCUUGAAUAAUAGCGGAGUCUAGCUGUUGGAGGACAGGCCUUUCGGCCCAAUUCGCUAAGGCCCAAGAGGCCCAGCCCACUAUUUAAAUUACUUAAAUGUUACCAUUGUAACAUUCGGGGACGGAGAUCACGCCGCAUUAAAGCCCCACUAUUCUCCUCCCGCAUCGGGCGGAACCAUUACACACCCAGGAGCUCUCUUCCCCCUAUAAAUAACUGGUAAAUGAUGGGUAAUACUCAAUUACACACUCAAGUACACACUUUUCUUACGCUUGCAGUUCCAACUUAGGACCACUAAUUUAUUCUCACGCCGGAGGUGAAUCGGAGAGAUAAUCCCUCGCAUUCUUCUCCUUUUCAGGUCACAUUCAGGUUUCGGCAUCUGGCUGAAUCUUGGUUCCAACACUAGCAUAACGUACAUAUUAGCUACGAUGUUCGGUAUAAUCUUAACAAUAUAUACUGAUUUGACCUAUAUCAAAUUUGUUCAAAAAAUUGAGAGUCUAAAUAUAUAUUUAAUUUGUACUCCCAAAUAAUUUUUGAGUUAGAUUUGUUUUUUUUUUUAAAUUUACUAACGUGUAUAAAUUUAUUAUUGCAGGUGCUCUGAGGAACGACAACCAAGCGCAACCUGUAGGUGUUACCUAUGGAACAUUUGCUGACAAUCAACCGUCAGCUCAAGAAGCCGUGGGUCUUGUCCAAUCUGUCGGGAUCAGGAGAAUUAGACUUUAUGGCCCGGACCAUAAUGCUCUGAAUUCCCUCAGGAACACGGGCAUUGAAGUUGUGCUUGGCGUCCCCAACGACCAUCUCCCGUGGAUUGCCUCUAACCAAGACAACGCCAAGCAGUGGAUCCAAGGCAAUGUCCAAAACUAUCAGAACGUCAAUUUCAGGUUCAUUGUUGUUGGCAAUGGAAUUACUCCGUUCCACGACCAGACUUCCUAGUUCGCGCAGUUUGUCCUCCCUGCCAUGCAAAACAUCCAGAACGCAAUUUCUGCAUUCGGCCUCCAGAACAAAAUGAGAGUCACCACAGCCGUGGACCAAUCCGAGAUGCUUAACGUGAACUAUCAGCCAUCACAGAGUGAAUUCAGGCCCGAAGCCAGACAAUUCAUCGAUCCAAUCAUCCAAUUCCUAGUUCACAACAACAAUGCACCCUUGCUCGUCAACCUUCACCCUUUUUACAGCUACGUGCACGUAAAGGAAGACAUCCCUAUGGACUUAGAAGCUCAAGCCCACCGCGAAUCCAGAAGUGCUCGUUUUGAUUACGCUACUUUCAACUCUG